rnacentral:lncRNA from 10 species
GCAGUUUCGCUCACAGUAAGCCACAUCCAUAAGAAAAGGAGCAAGAAGUCCUGCGGGAAGCAUAUGUCAGCACCAAAGCCUACAUGCCGCACUUGGUCUUUCUCUCAUCACCAUAACAUGGAAGCAAGUACAGCCAUCGACCACAUCGGACCCUGUGGUGGAAGGAGAAGGCAGCACUAUUGCACUUCCACUCGUGUCUCAGAGGCAAGGAAUCUGGCCGCCCCCAGCUAAAUGCAACACUGGGAGCAUGAGGCUUUUAGUCUCCAGUCUCUAUGGCACAGGCAGGCAAAGGCGGUGAGGAUGGGAACCCGACUUUGUGCUCAGUCCAUGUUGUCUGCCAGAACCUUUGAUGGAGUGGACUCAUUUUUUCUCCAUGUCUCAGCAUCUUGUUUAUAUUUUUCAUCAUUUAAUUUAUUUGUUGAAUCCUGGGAAAUUCUAUUCAUUUCAGAAUUCUUUUAGUUUAUCUCACCUACUAUUUUAAACUUUAUUUCUGAGAUUGUAAUUUUAGUGAGUUUUUCUAUUUCCUGAAGUUUUAUUUGCUUGUACUCUUUCCUUUUUUUUCUUUUCUUCUUCUUCUUUUUUUUUUGAGACAGUCUUGCUCUGUUGCCCAGGCUGGAGUGCCAUGGCAUGAUCUCAGCUGUCACCUCCACCUCCCACGUUCAAGCAAUUCUCCUGCCUUAGUGUCCCUAGUAGCUGGGAUGACAGAUGCACGCCACCAUGCCCAGCUAAUUUUUGUAUUUUUAGUAGACGGGGUUUCACCAUGUUAGCCAGGCUGGUCUUGAACUCGGGACCUCAGGUGAUCUGCCCACCUUGGCCUCCCAAAGUGCUGGGAUUACAGGCGUGAGCCACCACACCUGGCCCCUUAUAGUUUCUAUGCCUUUUUUUUUAUCCCCUUUAAUCAUUUGUUAUUUAGGUGAAGAGGGAAAUGCCUUUUUUCCCCAUUCUUACUUGCAUGAUGGCAGGGAAGUGGAGGCGUUAUAUCCCCCAGCAUAUGCCUGGCCCUUCUCUCCUGGGAAUAUAGAGAAAUGUAUUUGAUUGCAAGUUUCAGACGAAUGCCUGGAGGCUUGGCUUGGCUCAUCUCUGCGCUUUUUCCUUUUGUGAAUAAGUUUGCCACAGGGUGAGGUGUUCUCUGCAGCCCUUUUGGGACAAGCUCUCCCUGUCACAUGCCCCAGAAUUACCUGCAAUCAAGUGGUUAAUGUCUGCCUAAUUCUGGGCUUCAGUAUUAGGAAACAUACUUGCUGCGCAUAUACACCACAUCCUCCACCUGAGCUGUGUGUGCAAUGUUUGGUUGCAGCCUCCCUCUGCUACUUUGAAUUACUACUUCUUUUUGUUUUUUGUUUUUUUUUCAGAGGAUAGGGAACACUUAGAAGAUCCCAAACUUACUUUCUUUUAUAUUUUGCUAUUAUAUAUUUUUACAUAUAUAUUCUAUAAUAUCAUAUAUUUUAUUUUAAUGUAUUUUGUUAUAAUCUUAAGUUCUUGAAGAACUAAUGCUCCUCUUUAUGUGUUGCUGAUUUGCUGGUGGUGGAAGGUUUCCUUCUACGUUUUGACUAUUUCUCACUGUAAGCGCAUCCAAUCAAAGCUCAGUUUUUCUAUAGACAUCUACGUAGCCGGGAAACUAAAAUGUCCCUAAGUCCAGAAUGAGGUUGCGUAUGUUGUUCUCAGGUGUCUGAGAGAUAGCACUUGCCAGCGGCCAAUUUUUAUACUAAUUUCACAUCUCUGGGUUUCCCCCAUGAUGCUGUUAAAUGACUUGAACUCUAUGUGGGACACAGUCUGGGCUUUGAUUUCUUUCAGAG